CUACCAUGGCAGUCACGGGUAACGGAGAAUUAGGGUUCGAUUCCGGAGAGGGAGCCUGAGAAACGGCUACCACAUCUACGGAAGGCAGCAGGCGCGAAAAUUGCCCAAUCCUGACACGGGGAGGCAGUGACAAGAAAUAACAACUCUAGGUUUUCUUAGAAGUGUAAUGAGGAUAAUUUACAAACCUUACCAAAUGCAAUUGGAGGGCAAGUCUGGUGCCAGCAGCCGCGGUAAUUCCAGCUCCAAUAGCGUAUAUUAAAGUUGUUGCAGUUAAAAAGCUCGUAGUUGAAAAUCUGAUUGCUCAGGUCUCCAGCCUUUAGGCGGGGAUUCUGACAGUCAUCCGCUUGCAAACAUAUGUUCGAUCUUCACCGGUUGGCUGUGUGAGUAAGCACUUUACCUUGAGAAAAACAGAGUGUUCCAGGCAGGUUUGUCCGGAAUGCAUUAGCAUGGAAUAAUAGAACAUGACUGAAGUCUAUUUAUUGGUUAAAGGCUUUAGUAAUGAUUAAUAGGAACAGUCGGGGGCAUUCGUACUCAGCAGUCAGAGGUGAAAUUCUAAGAUUUGCUGAAGACGAACUAAUGCGAAAGCAUUUGCCAAGGAUGUUUUCAUUAAUCAAGAACGAAAGUUAGGGGAUC
rnacentral:rRNA from 1 species